rnacentral:rRNA from 2 species
AAGUCUGACGGAGCAACGCCGCGUGAGUGAUGAAGGCUUUCGGGUCGUAAAACUCUGUUGUUAGGGAAGAACAAGUACGAGAGUAACUGCUCGUACCUUGACGGUACCUAACCAGAAAGCCACGGCUAACUACGUGCCAGCAGCCGCGGUAAUACGUAGGUGGCAAGCGUUAUCCGGAAUUAUUGGGCGUAAAGCGCGCGCAGGCGGUUUCUUAAGUCUGAUGUGAAAGCCCACGGCUCAACCGUGGAGGGUCAUUGGAAACUGGGGAACUUGAGUGCAGAAGAGAAAAGCGGAAUUCCACGUGUAGCGGUGAAAUGCGUAGAGAUGUGGAGGAACACCAGUGGCCAAAGCGGUUUUUUGGUCUGUAACUGACGCUGAAGCGCGAAAGCGGGGGGAGCAAACAGAUUAGAUACCCUGGUUACCCACGCCGUUAAUCUUCAGUGCUAAGUUUUAGAGGGAUUCCGCCCCUUCUUGCUGGAGCUACGGCAUUAAACCUUCCGACUGGGGAAAAAUGCCGCAAGAUAGAACCUCAGGGGGGAAUUGACGG